rnacentral:rRNA from 1 species
AAGGUAGAGUCUGCGUUGAACACCAGAACAUAGGCCCGGAAGCAGCCCCUGUGCUUGGAAAGCGUAAUAGCUCACUGGUCUAGCAGUACUCCGCUUAUAUAUGUCCGGCACUACAAAUUGCCGAAGCCCGCCUAUGACAA